rnacentral:rRNA from 1 species
UAGGGGAGACUGGAAUUCCUGGUGUAGCGGUGGAAUGCGCAGAUAUCAGGAGGAACACCGAUGGCGAAGGCAGGUCUCUGGGCCGCAACUGACGCUGAGGAGCGAAAGCAUGGGGAGCGAACAGGAUUAGAUACCCUGGUAGUCCAUGCCGUAAACGUUGGGCACUAGGUGUGGGGCUCAUUCCACGAGUUCCGUGCCGCAGCUAACGCAUUAAGUGCCCCGCCUGGGGAGUACGGCCGCAAGGCUAAAACUCAAAGGAAUUGACGGGGGCCCGCACAAGCGGCGGAGCAUGCGGAUUAAUUCGAUGCAACGCGAAGAACCUUACCAAGGCUUGACAUGCACCGGACGCUGCCAGAGAUGGUGGUUCCGCAAGGUCGGUGCACAGGUGGUGCAUGGUUGUCGUCAGCUCGUGUCGUGAGAUGUUGGGUUAAGUCCCGCAACGAGCGCAACCCUUGUCCUAUGUUGCCAGCGGGUUAUGCCGGGGACUCAUGGGAGACUGCCGGGGUCAACUCGGAGGAAGGCGGGGAUGACGUCAAAUCAUCAUGCCCCUUAUGUCUUGGGCUUCACGCAUGCUACAAUGGCCGGUACAGAGGGCUGCGAUACCGUAAGGUGGAGCGAAUCCCAAAAAGCCGGUCUCAGUUCGGAUUGGGGUCUGCAACUCGACCCCAUGAAGUCGGAGUCGCUAGUAAUCGCAGAUCAGCAACGCUGCGGUGAAUACGUUCCCGGGCCUUGUACACACCGCCCGUCAAGUCACGAAAGUUGGUAACACCCGAAGCUCAUGGCUACAACCGGUUUAUCGGGGGGAGUGGUCGAUAGAGCUACCACAUGGCCA